GUGAAUCAUCAAAUUUUUGAACGCAAAUUGCGCUUCCUGGCAUCCCUGUAAGUAUGCCUGGUUGAGGACCAGUAAUAAUAAAAAUGCUGUUUAGUUGCAAAUUUUGACGUUUUCGGUGUUUGGACUAUCUUAACGGUUUUUGGUAAGAGGCUUAAAAUUUACCUUUUUUGCGCUUUUUUGAACGUACAUAAUUUUUUUUUAUUCGUCUAUUCUUAAUGCCAAAAUCUUAUUAGAUGCGAUCACAUCUGGUGGCUUCGUGUCCAUAAAAUUUUCAUGAUUUUACCUCAAAUCAGU
rnacentral:misc_RNA from 1 species